rnacentral:lncRNA from 1 species
UAGACAUUAGAAUCAUGAAAAUCAAAGUUUAAUGGAUUAGAAAGUGUGCUUCGGAACUUUGUGAAACCCGAAAUUGUGCAAAAUCUGAAAACUGCACUGUGUACGGGUACAGCAUUGAAAGUGUACCUGUACAAAAUCGGUUCCGGUACAGCAUUGACCUUGUAACCGGUUUCAAGUAUUUAAAAGUUUUCUGUUUCGUACUUGUGUAACCGGUAACAACUUAUUUUUGUACC